rnacentral:rRNA from 1 species
CCUACGGGAGGCAGCAGUGAGGAAUAUUGGUCAAUGGGCGCGAGCCUGAACCAGCGAAGUCGCGUGAAGGAUGACUGCCCUACGGGUUGUAAACUUCUUUUAUAAAGGAAUAAAGUGAGGCACGUGUGCCUUUUUGUGUGUACUUUAUGAAUAAGGAUCCGCUAACUCCGUGCCAGCAGCCGCGGUAAUCCGGAGGAUCCGGGGGUUAUCCGGAUUUAUUGGGUUUAAAGGGAGCGUAGAUGGGUUGGUAAGUCAGUUGUGAAAGUUUGCGGCUCAACCGUAAAAUUGCAAUUGAUACUGGCAGUCUGGAGUACAGUUGAGGUAGGCGGAAUUCGUGGUGUAGCGGUGAAAUGCUUAGAUAUCACGAAGAACUCCGAUGGCGAAGGCAGCUUACUAAACUGCCACUGACAUUGAUGCUCGAAAGUGUGGGGAUCAAACAGGAUUAGAUACCCCUGUAGUC